rnacentral:rRNA from 1 species
CAGUAGCCGCGGUAAAACGAGGGGUGCAAGCGUUAAUCGGAAUUACUGGGCGUAAAGCGUGCGUAGGCGGUUUGUUAAGUCUGCUGUGAAAUCCCCGGGCUCAACCUGGGAAUGGCAGUGGAUACUGGCAAGCUAGAGUGUGUCAGAGGAUGGUGGAAUUCCCGGUGUAGCGGUGAAAUGCGUAGAUAUCGGAAGGAACACCUGUGGCGAAAGCGGCUUACCGGACCAUAACUGACGCUGAGGCACGAAAGCUAGGGGAGCAAACAGGAUUAGAUACCCGCGUAGUCCCUGUCUCUUAUAC